GUGAAUCAUCAAAUUGUUGAACGCAAAUUGCACUCCCUGGUAUUCCGGGGAGUAUGCCUGGUUGAGGGUCGUUAGAAGAAAAAUCGAAGCAUCGGGCUUUUUUUUGAGGGUGAUCGCGUGGGAAUAGAGCCGUCUUUCAAAUGUUAAUUCAUGGCAAAGUGGUUGGAAAUGAAUCAAUCGGGUAUGAGUAAGGCGUA
rnacentral:misc_RNA from 1 species